GGAACAUUGGGUAAGACCGACAACCACAUCCAGCUUGGGGGAGUUCCUCCCCGUUUUAUCAAGUAAGUUUUUAUUUGCACUUCUUAUUUAUUCUUUUCUAUUUUAGUGUUUUGUUUAUCUUAAAGAGAAAAAACUUAAGAAAACCCAAUAAAUAUUUUAUUGCUUUAAAUUACUGCAUUUUAUAAACAUGAAAACAAAAUAAAAAGAGUGUGCAGAUAAGUGUGCUUUAUUUUUCCUGCUACAAUUAAUCUCUAAAAAGAAAAAAUAAAAGACCAAAAAGAUACAUGAUGGAGAUGAUGAACAGUUGCUUUGUUUGCUUACUUUCAAGUACCUAGAUUUUAUAUUAGAGUUCUUCCAGGAAUUACUAAAAACUGAAAUUUACUAUCUAUCGGAAACAUAAAAGUAAAGUCUAGGUAAGAAAAAGGCA
rnacentral:lncRNA from 1 species